ACUGGCAACAGGAGCGGCACGGUAAACCCCACCGGGAGCAAGACCGAAUAGGGACGGUGCGAGGGGAAACCCUCGAGGGCUGUUUCCGGCUCACCGUCCGGGUAGGUUGCGUGAGGCGCAUGGCAACAUGCGCCCAAGAUGAAUGGUCGCCACGUUCUCGCCCCGCAAGGGGCGAGGGCCAUACAGAACCCGGCUUACAGGCCAGCUGGCAAC
rnacentral:RNase_P_RNA from 1 species